AAGGUCAGAUGCCUGCCCCUUUCGGCAGCCAUGACAGUAACAUGUGCUUUUCUGAUCUUGCCUUGGUCACUAGAGGUUAGGUGCCUGCCUUGUGGCAAGGAACCAAUCAGAAGUUAGCUGGUGGUGGUAUGCUUUACAGCUCUGGGUGUGCUUUACGGACAAGCUCACAGCAAUGACUCACAGAGCAUACCAACCACCCUGGAAGGGCCUAUGGGCCAUAACAACCAGUUGGCCAAUCCACACAGGGCAAGCCCUCCAAACCUGGAGGCACACCAAUCCUGAGCCUGUGUGUACCCCUAGACACUCCCUUUACGCUGCCCUACAAGAUCUCUAUGCAGCUCCUUCAAGCUGUCUUUGCUAGCCAUCCACCAUGGUGGGUGGGUGAAAGACCCAAGCUAACAUGGGGUUAGCUCGUUAAACAACAAUAAAGCCUCAUGCUGUUUGCAGCAAGCUUUUGAAUCUGCCUGGUGAUUGGGGUGACUGAGGUCCUGGGCUGAGACCCCGGAGGCCAGAGUUUUCUGGGGGUCUAACAUUUGGGGGCUCGUCCUGGAUUUGCGACCACCCCUCACCUGAGUGGAUUCGAUCUUGGAGAUGUGCCCGGAGGAUCACAGACUGCUGCCCUGAGGACACCCAGGAGGAUCCACCAUGACACCCCCUUUCAUUGAGUCACUUGGCGCCACACUAGGAGGAAUGGACUUCAAGCAACACUCAAGCAAGAAAGGACCCUAGUGUUUAUUGGAACAAGAACCUGGUGCUAGCUCCUUCUCUAGCACCAUGUCUGCCUGCAUGCUGCCUUGCUUCCUGCCAUGAUGAUUAUGGACUGAACCUUUGAACUGUAAGAGAGCCACUGCAAUUAAAUGUUUUUCUUUAUACGAGUUUCCAUGCUCAUAGUGUCUCUUCAGAGUAAUAAAAACCCUAAGUUAGACACUCACAAUCUCCUGUAACUCUAGGGGGUUCUGAUGCCUCUGGCCCUGUAGGAACAUGCCUGAAAAUGGUGCACAGACAUACAUGGAGGCAAGACAUACAUAUAAUAAAACUUCAAAAGGAAAAGCAAUAUAAAUUCAUUGUACUGCUUUAGCACUCUCCACUCUAUAGAACCAUGUUUGCUAACCCUUUCAUUUUGUUUCUAUGCCCUGCUCCUGUUAGUGUUCACAGAAGUUAGGAUUGUGUUAUGUAAGGACUCUACUUGAACAACAGUAAACUGUCCACACAUGCUUUAAACAGAAAAAUGAUAUACCAAAGGAAGGGGCUCAGAGCAACUUACAGAAUCUCCAAAAAGGAUACAGAAAAAAGCAAGCCAAGUACCAAACAUGGAACAGCCAGGAACAUAAUGGAACACACACAUUCUACCAAUGAAGGCCAGGCAGGGCCAGCUCCUGCUGCCAUCACCAGGUGUUCAGUACACUGUCUCAGCAUUCACUAACGACAUUCUACCUCAAGCUGGACUCUGACCAAUAUGUAGCUGCAAGGAAUGUUGAGAAUGCUUGAGGGUUCUGUACUUCACCAAUACUGACAAAAAAAGACUUCAGAGGCUGGAAAACACAACUCAGUAGGGAAAUUUCUGUUUCCAUUCAAAAAAAUAUUCGAUGUGUUUUCAACAUCAGAAUGUUUAGGAGAAAAUGAACAUCUUAGAAGUCCUUCAAUUGUAUCUGAAGUUACCUCUCUACUUCAUGGAGCAAUCCAAAGGCAGACACCAUUUUCUUUUACUGGACAACACUGCUACAUGACUGAGAACAGACUAUGUCACAGGAAGGCAUUCCAGUGAGCUCUUUGCUUCCUACUAAGGAUCAAAAACGUGAGCUCUCAGCUGCUGUUCCAGUGCCCCACCUCCCUGCCUGCCACCAUCCUCCUCACCAUGAUGGUGAUGGAUUCCUACCUCUCUGGCCACAAAUGAACCCUUCUCUAAAAUGUCUUGACCACAGUGUUUUAUCACAGUAAUAUACAAGUAAUGAAAGUCUUGGGAUGACCAGCUUAGGCCAUGUUUUCUACCAUGUUCCACUCCCUUUUGACACAAGUCUGUAACUCUGGCUGGCCUAGAACUCACAGAGAUCCACCUGCCCCUGGCUCCCAAGUCCUGGGAUGAAAGGGAGAUAGCACCCACCCAUACGACCACACCUUGCUCUUAAAAAGAAGCCCAUUCUUCCUUUAGGUUACAAACUGAUCUCUGAUCCAUCUCUCCCCGUUUCAUCUUAAAAAUUUAUUUUACUUUGUGUAUGAGCCUUUUGCUUGAAUGUCUGCUUGUGUACCGUGGGCUUGUGUGGUGCCUUCAGAGAUCAGAGGAGGACAUCGGAUUCCCUGGAACUGGAGUUACAGAUAGUUGUGAAUCAUGUGGGUGCUUGGAAUGGGAACAGGGUCCUGCACAAGAGCCACAAGUGUCUUAAUCACCAAGCAAGCCAUCUCUCCAGCCUCUCUGGCAGUUUCUCACUCUCUGGUAAAAGAAUUAAACUCCUCCACAGCAUAAACAGCUUUAGUGUUUGUUACUGGGUCCACAGUUCUGAGAGGGAGGAAGGACUCAGUGUGAAUGAAAAAAUCUGUAACAGGAGGAAUCCUCAAGCUAAAACUCAGGGAUUUCAAGCUUGUCCUGGUGGCACAUGCCUUUAAUCAUAGCACUCUGAAGGCAGAGAAGGGCUGAUCUCUGAGUUUGAGGCCAGCCAGGUCUAUAUAAUGAGUUCCAGGACAGCCAGGGCUAUAUAGAGAUCAUCUGUCCCCCCUAAAAAAAACACAACAACAUAAAAACUUGGGUUUUGCUGUUCGUGAUGGCACACACCUGUAAUCUCCACACUAUGGACAGGCCAGUCUGGUCCAUACAGUGUGUUCCAGGUCAAGCAGGG
ensembl:lncRNA